AAAAAAAGUCUCCUGAAUUGUAUCAUUAGUGAACAUGCUUCAAUGAGUGUAAAAAAAAAAAUCACUCUAAAAUUCAAACUAAAUUUUCCUUGCAAUCUAUCCUAACAAUCAUCUGGGUCUUAUUUUUAAUAAUCUGUCAUAGAGGAACACCGGCCCCUUCUUUAACACUGAAAAAGGAAAGUGACAUUUCAAUCACUGUCAACAAUUUAACAACCAAUAAAUAUAUACUGAGCAACUCUUCAGUCCAUUCCUCCGGACACCAUGGAUGAAGAAUCACAUUACCAAUGGAGAGAGCAGAAGCUGCUCUCUUAAAACGCCCAAGCAGUGUCUCAUGUCAGUUUGGGAGUCAGAGCCACCCAGGAAAAUUGUUAGUGGCUCCGUUUAAUUAGCACUCCUGCCACCUGCAAACAAGUGGUACUAAAAAAAGGUGCUGAAUUCUUGCCAUUGAGAAUGCCAAAAAAAGACACCACUGGUUUCAUUCUGACUACUAGAAUCUAAUAUUUCACUGAUUUGGCGGGCAGGGGGCGGGGGGAGGAGGGAGGAAGAAAAUACACUUUCACUUUCACCCAAAGGAAAUGACUUAACAAGUCACGUUUUAGAAAGGAUCAUAUGGUAAUGAGUCCUGCGAUCCAGCAAUCCUCCCUCCCCCGACCUCCUGGCCUCUGCCUUCCCCUCUGCCUGGUCUGGGCUCCCUCUGCCUCCCACAGAAACUGCCUUCUCCUCAGGUCCACUCUUAGACCUUCCUCCACCAGGAAGCCAUCCGGAAUCGUCUCUGUAACCCCACAACACUUGAGAGUCUCUUCCCCACAGGUGACAGUGGCCUUUGCAGCACAAGUCCUUGUCUGAUGGACUGCACAGAUAAUGGUCUGUGAUCUGAGUGGGGAAUGGAUGUUCUGGAGUGUUCCAGUCCACUUCCCUAUGCACUAUGAGUCUGCUCCUUCACUACCCGUCUGCUUGGAGUGUACACAUUAGCCCUGAUCCCAGUGCCCAGCUUGGGGCUCAGGACAGGGAGGGUUGGCUUUUGGAGUACACACCACCAAGUUGAUCCUGUGCUUCAUGGAGAAAUCUCUGACCAUGGUGGAAGAGGUUCCUGGGCACAACACACGAGUCCCAUGAACCACACAGAGAGAUCCAUGCCAAUCACGGGGCCCAUCCCAUGGGCCACAGAGCAGAGCAAAGAAUGACCCAGAAAAGAUCCCAGACUGCAGCAAGAUCUACGUAGAGAGAGAGAGACAGAGGAGACUCCUGACACAAUGCAAAUCCAGUUUAUGUUGCCAAGACACUAGAUGCGCUGGGACAGAUCACGUGAACAACAGCACUCUGAAAUGGAGUUCAUGUGCAGACCAGCGCAGACCCUUCAUAAAUGACUGUGUCCACACUAAACAGCUCCCAGCAGGGCAGCUGGGCAGAGCAUUAAUGACAAGGAAGGCCUUGGUAUCUAACUCUGGAAAUCCUUAUUUGCAUUCAGGCUCUGAGGGAUAAAACAAGGAUGGGUGAGGACAGGGUAGAUAAGCCCACUGGGAGUCUAAUUCACACAGCUUUUCUCAUUCUCCCUGACAAGCUGGCUCACUUGGUGAGCUGUUACCAAACUCCAGCCCUGAAGACUUUACGGUGCUCCAGAACCAGCACCCUUCGCACCACCACGGCCCGAGGCGGUUCUCCUCUGGAUGAGAACUCAACACAGCUCUCUUUUCUGAUCCUGCCAGCAGGGAAACUGGGAGCAUCCUUUCUCCUUCAUCUGGAGAGGGAGCUGAAGAAGGAUUCUUGGAGUGCCUAUUUUCUUCUUGCAAUUGAGGAUCAUUCAAAAUCAUCUGUAAGACACUGUGAGUGCCUCACAUUGCCAGAUCUUAACCUAUCCCAGACCCUGCAAACCUUGGCCACAUUUCUGUAGUGCCUACGGCUGUCUCAUAGGGCGCUACUCCAGAAGGCGGCUGGGUGGACUUUUGUAUGUUCAGUCAGUGGAUCCAUGGAGAUUAUCUCAGAGGACAGCUUCCUACAGCGUGGAGGAACAGAUACACGCCUGUUGCUUUGUUCUCCUUCUUUUUGCGUUGAGUUGACCUGUGUAUCAAUUUGAAAUCCCAAGAAAUCCCUCUUUUUUCCAUUUUGCUAUCUGGUAGUCUUCUAUCACUUUUCAUUCACCAUUUUAAGAACAUAGUACUCAAGCCAAAGCUAUCAAUCACCUUCAGGUGUUGUCUGAGGACCCUUGGGGAGUUUUUCUCCUCCUCCUCCCACUCCUGCUCCCCUCUUUGGCACCUCUGUCAUGCUCUCUUAAGGACACGCCAGUUUUCCCGGCUGUCCUCCUCAUGAAGGGUGGUUUCCUCCCUGAAGUGCUCCGCUCUGUCCCCUCCCGAGUCCCCGGCUUCACACACACAAACUUUGUUGGAUGUUUUUUCCAGGAAAUUCAGUUAUUCUGACACCAGUGGGCCAUUUCCCCAGCGUCCUCAUUCCGUUUCUGACAGUGCUCCUGCUACCCUCAAUAGAUUAUUAUUAUUUAUUAUUUAUCAGCCA